GCUAAAUUCACGGUCAAAUAAUAAUAAAUAAUUUAGACUAAUCAGAGUUUGAUUGAAACAAAUAAACAUAGUUUAACUAGAAGAUUAUUUCUCAAAUUUGACUAAAUAGGAGUCAUACUUAACAUAAAUAAAAUCCAUGGUACAAUUGAAAUACACAACCAUUGAAUAUUUAGAGAAAAAUGGAAAAAUAAAGAAGGAAAAUAAAAAGGAGAAGAAUAAAUUAACGUUGAAGGAAAAAAAGGGAUAAAUAAAUAAAAAGAGAAGAAAAAUGAAUGAAAGGUAAAAAAAAGAAAGAAUAGGGAGAAAAUUUAAAAAACAGAAAAUUGAGGGGAAUUAAAAAAGAU
rnacentral:lncRNA from 1 species